GGAGAGGUGGCCGAGCGGUCGAUGGCGCACGCUUGGAAAGCGUGUAAAGUGUAACAGCUUUCGGGGGUUCGAAUCCCCCUCUCUCCGCCA
rnacentral:tRNA from 1 species